AGCCUUUUUUUGUUCAUAAGCAUGAUGAUUAAGUAUUCACAUCAUUGUGGGACACAUACCCCCCUCUAGCCUUCAAGUAGGGUACUUUACCCACUUGACA